rnacentral:sRNA from 1 species
GGGAAGAGAGACAGAAGGAACCGGCGACAGUGGUCUCAGGGCCGCUCCGGGGGGCCUCAAGAACCGGAGGCAGCCCCGGAGGUGGUCCCCGAUCCCGGGCUAUGCUCUUGGACCUGAGAAGGGAAGGCGGAGGGCGGCGGGGACAAGAUGGGUGGGGAAUGUCAAGCGAGGAAUGCUAGGCGGGGGAGGGGCGUUGCUAUGGCGACUGGGGAGGGGCGGUGUCUGUUCUGAAUCGCUGUGUGUCACCCGGGCGCUGCCCAGGAAGGGCAGGGCUGGGGUGAUGACCAUGGUAACAGCCGGGUGGGAGUUCGUGACAUCUCUGGCGCGGAGGGACUCGAUGUCUAUGGCAAUGGUCGCCUGGUGAAAGGGACGGAACUAGAUCCCUUCGCUCGGGACGCUCACAUUCCAGGCCCUUGUCCUGCAGGCUGCCGCGGGCGGACACGCCAGAGGAGGAGGCCGGGGAAUGGCCGCGGUGUGGCAGCAAGUCUUAGCAGUGGACGCGAGGUGAGGCGUGGGGUCAAAGCCCAUGGGAGCAGAACUUACUGUGGUGCAUGCGCAAUGGCGAUAAGUGAGGCUGGGCGGAGAACUUGCCUUGUGCGGCUGCGUGGGCAUGCCGGAGGUGAGCAUGCGCAAUAGCGGGGGCGGGCACGCCGGCGGUGAGUUGGCUGGGCCGGAGAGGAUUCUAAACAGCAAGCUAGGAAAAUGUGGUCAGAUGUGGGCAUGCGCAAAGAGGCUGCCUGUGAGAGGGAGGUGGGGCUCGGGCAGGUGACAUCCUAUCCCUUAUGGGUGUCCCCUAGACUUUUUUUUUUUACAUCAUCACUUCCCCAUUCUGACCCCAUCACCUCCCAACGCUGACCCCCAUAAUGUCAGUCUGACUUCUGUCGCCCUGGUAUACUGACCCUAAUUAUUGUCUGCGCUGACCCAGUCACCCCGUAGGGACCCCAGCACGGCAGCAGACUGACUCUGUUGUCUGCAAACUGACCUCAUGACCAUGCUCAUUAUUACUGCAGACUCACUCCCACCACAGGAGGUCCCCCCUCACCACUGCUAGUCAUUCUUACCACCUAGGCCCCAGUCACUGCCACACACCUCACUCUCCUGCCCUACCCCCGGAGCUGAUUGAUUCCCUCUGUCCUGUGCCUGCUGCCUGCCCUGCAUCCUGACCCUGCAGGUACAACGCGUACCGCACACCAACGUUUCCACAGUUUCGGACGCAGUAUAUCCGCCGGCGCAGCCAGCUGCUGCGGGAGAAUGCCAAGGCUGGGCACCCCCCAGCGCUGCGUCGGCAGUACCUGAGGCUUCGGGGGCAGCUGCUCGGCCAGCGCUACGGGCCCCUCUCCGAGCCAGGCAGUGCUCGUGCCUAUAGCAACAGCAUCGUCCGCAGUAGCCGUACUACUCUUGACCGCAUGGAGGUGAGCUCCUGGCCACAUUCACCCCCUGGGCAUACCCUGCCUGCACACAUUCACUCCACUGACUUUCAUCAAGCACCUGCUCUUUGCUGGGCACUGUUCUGCAUCAGCAGAGGACAAAAAGAUAAUAUGCCAAGUAAACCAGUAAACACACAAACUUGGUAAACAGGUCAGUAAACAUAUAGCAAGCCCUGUCUUUAGUAUCUGCUGAGCAGGGGGAGGGCAGGAACAGCAGAACUCGUGAGGAAGCCACUGCAGUAGUACAAGUGGGCAGCGGUGGUGGUGGCAGGGGACACAGUGAGAAGUGAUCUGACUCUAGGUAGAUUUUCAGGGCUCCACACCUCAAAGGUUCUCGGGCUUUUUGCAAGAUGCACCCACCCUGACCCUCUCCAUUUGCAGGACUUUGAGGAUGAUCCUCGGGCUCUGGGGGCCCGUGGGCACCGUCGUUCUGUCAGCAGAGGCUCCUACCAGCUGCAGGCGCAGAUGAACCGUGCCGUCUAUGAGGACAGCGUGGUGCCCACAUCAGCGGCAGAGGCAAGUCGGGCCAUGGCCGGGGACACAUCACUGAGCGAGAACUAUGCCUUUGCGGGCAUGUACCAUGUUUUUGACCAGCACGUGGAUGAGGCAGGUGAGCCAGUGGGUGGCGGGUUACAUCACCAAGCAUUUGCCCAAACUGUGACAACCAACCAAGGCAUCCUUUUCUGAAUCCAAGUCCCCUGGCACACCUCCAAAGGAAGAAUGACCAUCCAUAAAGCCUUUUGUAGACUGAAAAUCCCUCUGCAAAGUGGUCAGUGCUUCAUCUACUGGAAAGGGCCUCAGAAGCCUAAGAGAGAGCCCUUUGCAGCAGGCUGCCUGGGUUCCUGAGUCACUUGGAAGAGUUCAAAGCCUUUGCUGAUGAUAAAUCCCCUUGCAGAAGGCAGAGUGGGCUACAGUGUCAAGGGUUUUGCAAAUUGCCAAGACCUUGAUUAUAAAGUGUUUGCUAAGACAGGAACUUUUUCACGUUGCAGAAGAUUUUUGCAAUCUCCAAAGGAGCUGCUAAGACUUAGGGAGCUUUGGCAGAGGGUCUUCAGGGGUUACAGUUCCCUUUGUCAGCCAAUGAAAGCCCUUUGCUGAGGCCACUGUGCCUCAUGCAGUGGGGCCCCAGCCCCAGGCACACACAUCAGAGCCUUUUAGAGAGAAAAGUGCCCAGUGAG